UACGGAAGGUGCGAGCGUUGUUCGGAUUUACUGGGCGUAAAGCGCGCGCAGGCGGACUGACAAGUCAGAUGUGAAAUCUCGGGGCUUAACCCCGAAAUUGCGUCUGAAACUGCCAGUCUAGAGUAUCAGAGGGGAUAGGGGAAUUUCACGUGUAGGGGUAAAAUCCGUAGAGAUGUGAAGGAACACCGGUGGCGAAGGCGCCUAUCUGGAUGAUUACUGACGCUGAGGCGCGAAAGCGUGGGGAGCAAACAGG
rnacentral:rRNA from 1 species